rnacentral:tRNA from 1 species
GGUUCAAUGGUCUAGUGGUUAUGAUUUCUGUCUCACAGGGUGAUCACAGAAGGUCUCCAGUUCGAUCCUGGAUUGAACCA